GGAGACGGGGGCGGAGUGCCGGGCAGCGGGCUUGCGGGUCGGGCUCCGCUCAGGGUCGGGCUGCGUCGAAUUGUUAAAUAGCUAAACGCCAUUAGGCAGAGAGCCCUUCCUUGCUUGGGAACGUGGGAGAAGUGGAGGAGGUCAGGCGUCCUGGACUGCACUGGCUCAGGGGUUGAUGGGUGAGGAGCUGUAGAGAGAAGAAUGGUACGGAAUCAGGUUGGAAGAGAUCCCUGAGACCUUCAAGUCCUGUCUUUGCCCCGACCACCACCGUGUGAACGUGGCCGUGACACUAAGUGCCGUGUCCAGUCUUGUCUCUAACACCUCCAGGGACGGUGACUCCACAGCAGCAGCUCCUCACACACCUUCCUCUGAAGCAGUGCCGGCAUCCCGAUUUCCUGUGCACAUUGCAAAGUCCUCCCUUUCAGCACAUGAUGGAAUAAAUUUAGAUUCAUUGUGUUACUUGCCGGCUUGUAUUCCAUGGGAGGUAGCAGUGGUAGCUGGUUUGGAUAUUUUGAAUGAAUGGUACGGGUAUGUAACACGUAUCGGCAGCACUUUUUAUGUUACAGAGGCAAAAUGCCGCUCCUAAGCUAUAAAAUAAUUCUCCAAUAUGUUAGAAUAGCGAUCUGAAGUUACUUGCUUCAUUGUUAAAAAAGCUUAUGUUAAGGACUUCCUGGGGCUUUUCUGAAAAAUUUUGGAUUAAUGAGAUACUAAGAUGCUGACUUUAGUUAAAAGGGAACAAUAAAGAAAAAGAAAAAAGAAAAAAAAAUCAGGGGGCAGGCAGACAAAAGGAGAAGAAAAGAAGAGAAUCACCAACAUUUUGAUUUGGUUUGUAAAUGUAUUAGUACUCCAGGGAAGAAGAAGAAAAAAAUUAUCUAACAGUCUUUCAUUCCCAGAGUGCUUAAUUGGCACCCUGCCUUAAGUGAACCAGAAAAUUGCUCACUUGGAAUAAGAAUUGGAGAAAUAACACAGUUAAACCCAGUGACUUGAGACAAGAAAAACCUCUGGUGCUGCAGUAUCUUUUGGUAGUCCAGUUAAGCAACAUCUGGUUCUUACAGGACACAUGCUAUAAAAACAGUUGCCUUCUGACUCAGUAUACCAGAGUCUGUGCACUGGAAAGCAGUGAUUUUUGCAAUAAGAGAAGUGAUUGUAAUGGGAUGUGUGUGGGGGGGAAAGUCAACACCCUUAAAAGUAGAAUAAAAACUCACUGUUCAGAGCAACAUCUUUGUGAAGUAGUUGUGGCUUCUAUCACCAUUUAAUACCCACAUGGGUGUGCAUAUAUUGGGUAAGAAAGAUGAAAGGAAGGUCCAGAUAAAUGAGGGCAAGGACUUCGGAAGAAAAGCUGAGAGCAUGUAGAAUUACAGUUUUGAAAUGAGAAAAUAAAGUCAGCACACCUGGGUGCUUAUAAGAGCCAAAGACCAUACAGGGUAGUGAGGGACUGAGCUCAGUUUGGUUGGGGUGUUUUUUUCAGUAGUGUUCACCUUCCUAGAAGAAACCUGUAUGUUUCAGCACAGUUAUUACUUGAGUUCUCCUUGUGCUGAGCAGGAUGAGUAUUGUAGAAAUACACUGUAAUUAUUGUAAAACCCAACUGUCUCAUACAUAUGGGGUCUCAGAAUCAUUCUCUUACUGCCUCUUUCUGUGAAGCAGAGACUUGGAAAAAGCCAGGCAGCCCAUCCCCACCACCUUGGCAAAUGAGAUGAAUGCUUCCUUCUGUGCUCGGUUGCUGUGCCCACAGUGGAUAAUACCUGUGUGAAUGGUCUCAUAGUUGGAAGGGUUUGUCAACAAGAGUUCAGAAAGCUUCCCCUGGAGAUUAAAAGAAGGAGGCUGAGUGUCUUGAUUUCUGCUGUGAUUUGCUUCAGAAAUCUUUCUUCUUCUUCAUGGUUUGACAAAAUUUAAUUUCUCGCCAGACUCCAUUUCCUUGAAAAAUGCUGUGGGAUUUCCCCACUACACCAGUCUCCUAAGGUAUUUUGGCAGCAGCUUUUCAUCAUUGUUUCUCCACCUACAUCAGGUAGAUACCGAGACAAGAAUGGACUGUUGCUGUUUCUAGCAUUGUCUCUCAGUAUAUGGCAAAUACAUACAUAUAUGUAUUUAUAUAUAUGGUUUGACACAUGAUUUUCAACUAUGUUAAAAGCAUUAUGGUGUAGUAGUAUGCAUCCUUCUGUUCCUGUCACUCUGUGGGGAAAAGAACACCUAGCACACACUCUUUCUCCCAGGACAAUAACUACAGAGAUCACUUAGAAACUGCAAAAGCCCAUUCUUCACCCCGAUGGUGAAGAACCUUUAUGUUACAGUCCUUGUGUAGGGAAGCUGCCUGUUUUCCCAGGAAGACAUUUUUGAGAAUACUGAUGGAAGGCUGAGAGAUUGACAGGAUGAAGAUAGGGCUGUAGCACAUGGCAGUGUGGAAAUUUUGGAAUAGACCCAAGCUGUUCUUGGUAGCCUAAUUUGGAGCAUCUUCUUCAGCUUUUUUGGCUCAAAAGUGAUAGAGAAUCUAUAGCUUAGAUGUUCUCAGAGCUGCUUUUAACUCCAUAGUGUUUCUCUUGCUUUUUUUCAUAUACACUACAGGAUUAUUAUUGUUCUCUGUUAUAUCAAUAAUUACAGGGAAACCCCAUUGACUGGUGAAUUCAGUAGACUUACUCUAGGCUCACUUGGACGUCAAAUAGAGCAUUUAUUUUAGUUAUUGUAGUGAAAAUUGCUACACUGCCUGAUUGUUACCUACCUAUAGGUAAGGCUGUAUAAAACCUAGUGGCUUUAUAAUACCACCUAUAAUGUUAUAACGUAACACCUAGUGGGCUAAAUGAGACUGAGUUUAAAACCUAUAAACUAAAACUUUUUUUUGCAUUUUGAAAUUAAUUCCUUGCCCAAUUAAAAUUUUCAGCAGUGAGGUAAUUCUUUAUUCCUCAGUGCUGUGCAGUUAAUGAUGUCCCUUCUUUUAGAAUCCUAAAUAUUAAAUACUUCCCCUAUAUUUUGCUGACAAAGCCGGCACUUCUUUUUCUCUCUCUGUUUCUUUGUUUCAUUACAGCUAAUUCAAGAGAUAAAAGAACAGCCGUUUCACUGCUUUGUAAAAGGAAAUGUGCUUUCCUCCAGAUUGACUGUCACAGUUUCCACCACCAGGAGGCCCUCAUUCCAGGGCUUAUAGCUAGGCAAAGAAAACACAAGGAGAGUGAAAAGAAGUGCAGAAACUCAUCCGUACAAGAGUAUUCUGUUAUAAUUUCCUAUAAAUUGAGAUUUUCAGAGUACUGUGCAGGCAUCGUUAAUUAUUGCAAGUACCCUAAUGUCCAACUAUCAUGGAUACACAUGACUUUUGGAGAUAAUGGAGUGUCUGUCACAGGUGGUACCCUUCACUGAAUAGCCGAGUGAUAGCCAGAAAAGUUCAUGCCUCUGUCUUCUGGAUGGAUCUUAGUAACCUAAAUAAAUAAUAAAAUGCAGUAAAGCACAGGUUAUAUUUCUCAUCCCUCAUAUGUGCCCUCUGUCACCCAACAAACAUGCCUUCACUUACUUUGCCUCUGCCUUCUCCCUUUUAGUUACUUAUCCACAGGCUCUUCAUUCUCUUUCACUUUUCACAGCUGGCUUUUAUAGUGUCCUAAAAGUUCUAAAUAUCUGCACUAACACUCUUUCUGAUUGUUCAAUUUUGCUAACCAGACCUUUAAGGAAAGGAGGAAGGAGAAAUGUUUUUAUCUUUAUUUUUUAGCAAAUCAUGUACUUCUUCCCUACUGGCUUUUCAAAGCUGCAGUCCUUACUUUGGCUGAAAUGUAGACUUUGUUAUUCAAAAGAACACUGUGUACAUGAUCUCUUGACUAAAAAGUAUAUAAAGUUGUUAUUCUUUUUUCCUUAAACCCUAUUUAUUUUUCUCUUCACUGCUGAGUCAAGCCUUGUAUAGCUGCUUCUGCGCUUAUUUCCCACUGUCAUGUUUCAGUGCUGAUGAGUCCAAGACACAGCUUUGCAAUGCAGUUUCAGAAUGGAUGAUAGGUGAGAACAGUUUUGCUUCUGUCAGGAAAAGCAGCUUCUGCAAGCUGUAAGUUACCCUCAGCUGCAAACUGAGCUACCCUUUGUCUUUCAAACUCAGUUCUUACCCUCCUUCCCUGAAUUCACACAUACAUACAACAUGUUUACAUUUGUGUACUUUGGCCUCUCUAAUAUGUACUAAUGUGAAAAACACAUAUCUUCUGCUCCAAGAAGCAGAAAAAGUGUAAAUGAAGCCAUGCAUGAAAUAGGAAAAGUUCCCAGGCCUCUGAGGAAGUUUUCCAAUCAUUGCUCACUAUUCUGGCCACACUGUUCACUUGAAAGAGUUUACACAAAUACGCAGGCAGUUGAGCCACUCACAUGUUCUGGAGAGCAUCCACUGCUUCCUGGCAGAAUUUGCCACAAGGCUGUCCUUGGUGACUGGGAGACCAAAGGUUCAGAGAACAUGUGCAGCCCACAUAGCAGUGAAAGCUUGAGUUAAGCUUUAUUUCACUCUGUUCCUAUUACUUGGCUAUUCUUUGCUUGCUUCCACAUCUGUAUUUCAUCCUUUUCCUUGUCUCUUACUUUCACAGUCGUCUGUUUCCAUGGCUCACUUAAGAUGUCCUUUCCAGGAAAUGAUGAAACUUAAGCCUCUAGUCUGCAUGUUCCUGAUGAGGAGAUUUGGGUAAAAGAAAUACCAGGGGAAAGGUCUCAGGCAUCUCUCUGUAUGGGUUGGUGCUGUUAUGACCCUUCACCACAGGCAGCUGCUGGAGACAAGAUGUUUGACCUUUGAACUGCACUUCUGUGUUGUGUAUAAGGGAGAGCAAACAGGGCCUGCAUUCUAAAUUUCCUUCCAAGGUGAUUUCAUCUGAGGCCUCAGAAGAGCAUCACCUGUGCUUUGCCUGUAUAAACAAACACACUUGUGUAUCAUGAGCUUCGUGAAGCUCAGUGUGUAUAGCAUGCGAUGAAGGUGGGAGAGAAGUGCUAAGUAUUCUUUCCUCUUCCAUGUUCUUUCACCAUUCCUUCUAUACCUUCAUUUAGGCACACUAUCAUCUCCAAGAAGCUACACUAACUGGGACUAUUCCCAGUUGGAACCAGAAAGAUGAACAUACUGCUGUCACCAAAGGGAGAGUCAUAAGAACACUGAGAUUCCUUCAAGAUGACAAGCAGUUCAGAGAAGACUGGUAAGACUGGUAGGAAUGCAGGAUAAAAAUAUAUUCACAAAUAUGUGCGGCCAGCAAGUGGAUGUGUCACAGAA